UAAACAAACAAAAAAUAAACAGAGUGCGGGGUGUACACACCUGUAACCCCAAAGCUUGAGAGAAGAAAUGGGGGGAACUGGAGCUCAAGGCAAGCCAGCCACAACUAUGUAAGAGAGUUUGGAAAAUCCUGGCUUACACGAGAGCAUCUCAAGAAACAAUAAGACUAGUUUGUGAUCAGAAGACAGACCUGUGUCCACCUUGUGGAGAUAGUACUCUGUGCUGGUGUACGUCACAUGCUGAAGGAUGAAAUUCAGGACCUUCCGAUAUCUGGUGGAAAUGGUCAGCUGCCUCUGGCCUCUGCCCUGAACCUCAUUGUCUGACACAUCAGCAAGGGUGUUCAAUGUCCCCAGAGAAGCUUUCAGGAUGACCUAGACAUGACAUUAGAAGUACACAUAUUGUUAUACAGCUGUCAGUCAUCCCUAUCCAUCUCUAGAAGCCCUUUAUCCUACCCAAUAAAACUUUAUUCCC
rnacentral:lncRNA from 1 species